UUGUUUCUUUUUAUUUCUUUCUCUUUUCUUUUAUUCCCUUAGGAUCAUGGCAAAAUAAUCAAGCCCUUGACUCAACACUAAUCUUUAUUAUAUAGCUCACGGACUCGAUUACAUAGAGGAAUUAUAAAGCAAAACUCACGACUAGAUCAUACUAAGAACUUUUAUUCUACUAGAUCAAGAUAUUAUCAAAAGGAUUGAACUAAGGAAAACUGUAGCGACCAGACCUCAAACGGUCCAAUCUCUAUGAUCAGGUGUCAUCCCUGGAUCAGUAAUGCUGACACCACAUAGUACUUGAAGGAUUUACAACAGAGUAGCAAUCACACACUUAUUACAUCGAGUGUCUCAAAAGAGAACUUAUUACAAUAAAUAUGGCUUAAGGCCAUCUAAUAACGAUAACAGCGGAAGGCUUGGAAGAUAAGCGAGUCCAUCAACUCCAACGGCAUCACUGAGUAUAGAACCACGACCUAAAAGCACCUUACUCGUCGUCUGAAAAGUCUACAACAUGAACGUUGCAGCCCGAAAUGGGUCAGCACAUGGAAUAUGCUGGCAAUGUAACACAUAGAGAGUAAUGAAAGAUAUAGGCUAUACUAUAUGCAUAUUUGGCUGGUGGAAAGCUCUAUGGUUACAGUUUUGCGAAAAGCCAAUUUUUCCCUACUGCAAAGGAAUAAAUUUUAAUUAACUAUCAUGGUAGUUGUUAAACAUUGAGAAUGGUUGACAGCAUUCUCAAUCCCAAUUAAGCAACAUCAUUAAACAAAACCCAACAAAAUUAAUUUAGAGUAACAUGAUGAGAUUCACAUGAUAAUCCAGGUACUAGAUACUCAAGAUGUCCAUAACCGGGGACAUGGCUAACCAUGAUUAGUUUAUACACUCUGUAGAGGUUUGCGCACUUUUCCCCACAAGACUCGAUCUCCUCCGUUGGAUUUCCUGCACUGCAUGGUGUUUGAGAAAUGGAUGGCCGAGACAUAGUCUUUCAGAAGCGCUAGCACCUUACGAUCGGGUAGACCGUUACACCUACUUCCCCCUACAUCUGCUAGUCUACCACUGUAAGAGUUCGCACGACUUAGUCAACUAUGCUAGAGCCCAUAGUAGCUUGUGGCUGCACACGGAAGUUUCUCACUACAAGAAAUAUGUCAACUUAUGACCUUCUGUCAGUGACCCUCGAAGAAUUGGUCAUAAAUUUAUGACCAUUUUAGACCAAUUGGUCAAAAGCUGUCUGGGGGACUCUAAACCCUAAACCAUAACGACCAUUUUGGUCAGAAAGGUCAUAAUUUCAUUAUAGGAAAUGGUCAUAAAGCAAACAGCGCUAGUCCGCUGCCUUAUUUCUAGUUAUUAACGACCAAUAUAGAUGGUCAUAGCCUUGUAAAUUGUGGUGGGUUGCUAUGACUAGGCGCCACCUCAUCAGUUUUGCCUAUGUGUCAUGUCCAUGUGGUAGUUUUUGCCCUAGGUUGUGAAGCAACCUAUAUUUCUGUCAUUCCCAAAAUUCCCAAAAAAAUCUCAUAAAUUCUUCGGGUCAUAUCUUCGUCAAAUAUGUAAAAACCUUCCUUGCUUAGUUUAAAAAUAAUUCAAAAAAAAUUCAAAAAUAUUCAUUUUCCUAUUCUGUUCAGAACAACAGUUUGUGAAGGAAGUACCACUUUGGCAUGUCCAAAUAGUAUCCAUUUUCUAAAGUGCUUUCCUAUGCCCAAAUAACCAUCCUCCAACAAAUACCAGCUCAAUCCAUUCAUUAUUUUGAGCCGAGCUUCAACAUUCGUAGUUAUGUCCAGUGUGGUAGUUUGCAAAGCAAGUACCACCUAGGCUCCUCCUUUUGAGCUAAAAAUUUGUGAAGACGGUCUUCUUAGUAACUGAUCAUCCUCAGCCAAAACUCACGCCCAGUAGCCAUGUACAUUUCCCGUACCACUAAUCAAACACUUGGCUGCUAAUUCAUGUUUGAGCAUCGAUCGGUCUCCUCGUGAGAAUCUUAUGUUGUAAUUUUCUUCCUAGCACCUACACGGGGAGUGCCCAACCCACUAGACAUGCAUAUGCCGCCCAGAACACAUGGCAAUGCAAGGGUCACGCGGUGACCACGCGGCGGGCAUGUGAGUUUACGCGCUCUAGAGUUGGGGCCCUCGGCCACCGCCCAAACCUCGACGUAUCGCCACCAAACCAUGUAUUUAUGAUUAAAUAGGUACUUAUGUACCUAUAAAUGAUUUUUGUAAAAAAUAAAUAGCAAACUAUGAGACAGCUGCAGUUCAAAUUUGACCCGCUUCCAACUGAAUCGGCGGAAAUUUGUCUUUUUCACGAGAGGUGGAUCAAAACUUUUUACACCCAACCAUUUUGUCAAUUGUGCAUUAAAUAUGGCCUAGUAUUUUAUAAAAAUGAUUUGGUCCAAUUUUGCAACAAUUAUUUGGGAGGUCCUUCACAAAAAAACCUCCUUUGGGCACUCGAAAAAUGGAAAAUGGUUUUUUCGUCCAAAGAAAAUGAAAACUUCCUUAGGCAACAUUGUUUACCAUUCCAAUAUGCACCCUUGUGCACAAUAUGAGAUCAUUUUGAACAAACUAUGCCAUGAAUGUGGCCAUAAGAUUGAUCAUUUGGCUUGAAAGCCAUUGAUCUCCACACGUGAUAGCUCGUUUCUAAGAACACUUUUUUAAAAUAAUUGCCGUAUUACAAGUUUGUUAUUUUUCUUGGGAACUUGGCCACAUAUAAUGACACAAUGCAAAGGUUUCCCAAUUUUUUGAUUUUUUUUGAAUUUUUUAUGCCCGUUUCAAAAUGCGGUCAAAAUGACAGGAAUGACCGUUCCUAGCUAGUGCUUGAAUCUUGGAAUUUUUUUGGUGUUUCUCUUAUUAAAUAGGUACUUAUGUACCUAGAAAUGAUUUUUGUAAAAAAUAAAUAGCAAACUAUGAUGGAGCUGUAGUUCAAAUUUGACCCGCUUCCUGCUGAAUCGGUGGAAAUUUGUCUUUUUCACGAGAGGUGGAUCAAAACUUUGUACACCCAACCAUUUUGUCUAUUGUGCAUUAAAUAUGGCCUAGUAUUUUAGAAAAAUGAUUUCGUCCAAUUUUGCAACAAUUAUUUGGGAGGUCCUUCACAAAAAACCUUCUUUUUGGACACUCGAAAAAUGGAAAAUGGUUUUUUCGUCGAAAGAAAAUGAAACCUUCCUUAGGCAAUAUUGUUUUCCAUUCCAAUAUGCACCCUUGGGUACAAUAUGAUAUCAUUUUAACAAACUAUGCCAUGAAUGUGGCCAUAAGAUUGAUCAUUUGGCUUGAAAGCCAUUGAUCUCCACACCUAAUAGCUCGUUUCUGAGAACACUUUUUAAAAAUAAUUACCGUAUUACAAGUUUGUUAUUUUUCCUGGGAACUUGGCCACAUAUAAUGACACAAUGCAAAGGUUUCCCAAUUUUUUGAUUUUUUUGAAUUUUUUAUGCCCGUUUCAAAAUGCGGUCAAAACGGCGGGAAUGACCAUUCCUAGCUAGUGGUUGAAUCUUGGAAUUUUUUUGGUGUUUCUCUAAUUAAAUAGAUACUUAUGUACCUAGAAAUAAUUUUUGGAAAAUAUAAAUAGCAAACUACAAGGAAGCUACAGUUCAAAUUUGACCCGCUUCCAACUGAAUCGGUGGAAAUUUGUCUUUUUCACGAGAGGUGGAUCAAAACUUUUUACACCCAACCAUUUGGUCAAUUGUGCAUUAAAUAUGGCCUAGUAUUUUAGAAAAAUGAUUUGGUACAAUUUUACAACAAUUAUUUGGGAGGUUCUUCACAAAGAAACCUCCUUUUUGGACACUCGAAAAAUGGAAAAUGGUUUUUUCGUCCAAAGAAAAUGAAAACUUCCUUAGGCAAUAUUGUUUUCCAUUCCAAUAUGCACCCUUGGGUACAAUAUGAGAUCAUUUUAACAAACUAUGCCAUGAAUGUGGCCAUAAGAUUGAUCAUUUGGCUUGAAAGCCACUAAUCUCCACACCUGAUAGCUCGUUUCUGAGAAUACUUUUUAAAAAUAAUUACCGUAUUACAAGUUUGUUAUUUUUCCUAGGAACUUGGCCACAUAUAAUGACACAAUGCGAAGGUUUCCCAAUUUUUUGAUUUUUUUUUGAAUUUUUUAUGCCCGUUUCAAAAUGUGGUCAAAACGGCGGGAAUGACCGUUCCUAGAUAGUGGUUGAAUCUUGGAAUUUUUUGAUGUUUCUCUAAUUAAAUAGAUACUUAUGUACCUAGAAAUGAUUUUUGGAAAAAAUAAAUAGCAACUACAAGGCAGCUACAGUUCAAAUUUGACCCGCUUCCAGCUGAAUCAGCGGAAAUUUGUCUUUUUCACGAGAGGUGGAUCAAAACUUUUUACACCCAACCAUUUGGUCAAUUAUGCAUUAAAUAUGUCCUAGUAAUUUAGAAAAAUGAUUUGGUCCAAUUUUACAACAAUUAUUUGGGAGGUUCUUCACAAAAAAACAUUUUUGCCACAAGAAAAAUGAUUAAAAAAAUAUAGAAAGAUAAAAAAUGCAUGGAAAUCGGUGAUCAUCCAUAAAAUGGGGUCUAAUUUGAGUGAAAAAUUUGGUUGUGCCAUUUUGAAAAAUAUUUUGAUAGUUGCUUCACAAAAUUCCCCUAGUUUUAGUACUUACAAACUAUUUUAAAUCACAAAAUUUCUGAACCAAUCAUGGCUCUUCUCACGGAUCACCCCACUAUAGUCGAUCUGAACCGUCUGCGUCCGAAGGAUCCAAUGUCUAUCAUUCACCUCUUAGGUCAUAGAGGCCCAACCCAAACCCUAGCAGCAACGCAAUCCCCCUCUCCCCCUCUCCCACCGCCGCCUGUCUCUCCCCAUCUCCCCCUCUCCCACCGCCGCCUGUCUCUCCCCAUCUCCCCGAUCCAGAUCUCACCGUCGCCGCCCAAACCCAAUCUCCCAAGUGUGAUGCCGCGCCCCUGCUUUGUCCCUCUGCAUCGCCCGCAUCAUCCGGCACCAUGGCCUCCUACAUCGCCGGAUCAGGGUGCCACCACCGUGCGGGCCCCAACCCCGCACCCCACGGUGGCCGGAGACGAUGGAGAGGAAGGGCUCGGUCCCCUGACGAAUCCUCCUCCCUCCAUGCCCGCACGCCUCGAUCCCAUCGGCCCAACGCCCAGGCCCAGCACGUGUUGCCUCCAUGGACUCCACUGCGAGUUCUACCAGGCCGAGGACGGGGAGCACAGCCGCCGCCUCCUCGCACUGCUCGCCACCUUCCUCACCGUGCUUGACGCCAUGCAAGGUCUGCCUCUCUCUCCUCCUCCUGGUCUCUCUCUGUUGCUUGGUUUGAUUUUGCUGAUACGGUUUCCUUCCUCCCCUCCCUAAUGCAUGCGCGCAGGUGCACAGCCUAGUAGGAUACCACGGCUCCGUCUGCUUCUUCCGUUGUUGUGUGGUCGACGACGACGACGCGGCUGUGCGGUCGGUGCCCUCUGAAGCCGCUCGCCCGGGACGUGCCGUGCCGGAGGAGGGGUCCAGAUCCGGGCCUCACCAAGAUCAAUCGUCCCUGGAACUCGGGGGGACAAGAUGGACGUGCCUCUGCUGGUCCCCGAGCUCCCUCCUCUCGAUUCUUCCUUGUGCUACUCAGGCCCGCUCAGUUCGACUCUGUGGAUGUAGGUGAGCCACUACCUUCCCCUCCUUUGUUUUCUCCAGUGCUCUUUCUGUCCAUGCCCGGCCAUCGAGCCAUGUUCUUUGUGGUCUAUCAAGCUUCUGUUCGACAGAAUGCCCGCAAGCUGCUGCUAAUCACUUGCACUUGCUAGCUGCUGCUAGUGGUCUCAUGUUCUUGAAAACUAACAAGAGUGGUCUUACUAAAAACUGACAAUCUCAAGUCCAAAUUUGAUUGGGUGCUCUACCAGCCAUUGUUCCUCUUUCUAGUCUAGUACAGACACUGCAAACCUGCUAUUUGUUCAGUACUACGGAUGUAAUAGCAGCUCUCCCUUAAAAAAAAUUCAGAGCAGAAGCAUUCCUGGAGCAAAAAACUUGAAUAGCUUGUCGUGUCUGGAUCAGUAAGCAUAAUCAUGGGCUUAUAUUCGUGUGUAGCUUGACUGAUCACUUUCUUGCUUCAGUCUUCUGUUCGACAGAAUGCUUGCAAGCUCUGUUAAUCCAGUAGUUAGAGAAGAGUUUCCAAGCUUUCAUCUUUGAGUGUUACUGGAAACUCGAUGGUUAUUACAAUCUAAUUACAAAAUGAUAAUCACCAAUUUUCCUCUAGUGCACUGUUCGUCGGUGAUAAAUAGCCUUCAUUUAUACAAUUAUUUAGAAAACAUUCCUAGAGUGAACACUUGAACAACUUGUUGUCUCUUGUGUAUGUAUAACAGCAAGUAGUAUGGGUUGAGGGGCAAUUAGUAACCCUAUUCACCGAAUGCUCUCUUGCGGGACGAUGUACGAUGCAAACACUAUCAGCUUCCUUUCUCGCAUGCAUGCAACUUGUAAUAAGGAUUUGUCCAUAAAAACUUUUGUAGAAACUUUGUGGACCGCAGCUCUUUCUCUCUAUUUUUAAAUUAAAAUCUUGUAUGUGGCAGAUUACCUCUUUCUCUCUAUUUUUAAACGUAUUUCUUUCUGUCCAAGUGCUCUUCAUCUUGUGUGUCAUCUGCAAGGCAAUCAAGUUAACUAGAUGUUGCUCUUUUCAUGAUCUGCUUCAUAGAUACAUGCAUAUGUGAUUGCUUCUUGCCUUCCUGCCUGCUACAUCUCUGCUAGCAUAAAUCAAAGAGAAGAAAUAGAUCUACCUAUUUUUUACCGGUAGCCUUUAAUAAAUUAUAUGAAUCUGUAGCCUGUAAUGAAUUAAAUGUAUGACUGUGAUGGGAAUUAUGGCACUACUUGAUGUUUGCAUCCUAUACUUUGCUUGUGAAUGAUGCUAUGUUGUUCUGCAGACUGUCAACAGGACUCAUAUUUAGCCAUGCUUUAGUCACUAUGCCCUUAGUUCUUUUUUGUAGGGAGCUAUGCUUAUCAUCAGAAACUGUAGGAUCGAAAGUAUGUCUAGAGGGGGUGAUUAGACUACUUGACCAAAUAAAACUUAACCUUUUCCCAAUUUUAGUUCUUGGCAGAUUUUAGCUAAUUUAGGACAAGUCAAGCAAUCAUCACAUCACUCAAGCAAGCAUGCAAAGAGUCUAUGGGCAGCGGAAAGUAAAGCAUGCAACUUGCGAGAAUGUAAAGGGAAGGGUUUGGAGAAUUCAAACGCUAUUGGAGACACGGAUGUUUUUCCCGUGGUUCGGAUAGGUGGAGCUAUCCUACAUCCACGUUGAUGGAGACUUCAACCCACGAAGGGUAACGGUUGCGCGAGUCCACACAGGGCUCCACCCAAGGGCAACGGUUGCGCGAGUCCACAUAGGGCUCCACCCAUGAAGGGUCCACGAAGAAGCAACCACCCACAAAGGGUCCACGAAGAAGCAACCUUGUCUAUCCCACCAUGGCCAUCGCCCACACAGGACUUGCCUCACUAGCGGUAGAUCUUCACGAAGUAGGCGAUCUCCUUGCCCUUACAAACUCCUUGGUUCAACUCCACAAUCUUGUCGGAGGCUCCCAAGUGACACCUAGCCAAUCUAGGAGACACCACUCUCCAAGAAGUAACAAAUGGUGUGUAGGUAAUGAACUCCUUGCUCUUGUGCUUCAAAUGAUAGUCUCCCCAACACUCAACUCUCUCUCAUAGGAUUUGGAUUUGGUGGAAAGAAGAUUUGAGUGGAAAGCAACUUGGGAAGGCUAGAGAUCAAGAUUCAUAUGGUAGGAAUGGAAUGUCUUGGUCUCAACACAUGAGUAGGUGGUUCUCUCUCAGAACAUAUGAGUUGGAAUGAUGUCUGUGUUCUGAUGGCUCUCUCACCGAAUGAGAAAGAGGUGGAGGGGUAUAUAUAGCCUCCACACAAAAUCCAACCGUUACACAAUUUUCCAAUCUCGGUGGGACCGAAUCAGAAAACUCGGUCUGACCGAAAUUGUAAACCUAGUGACCGUUAGGAAUUUCGGUGGGACUGACAUGCAACUCGGUAGGACCGAUAUGGUUAGGGUUUGGGCAUAACGUAAUCUCGGUGAGACCGAUUACACAAACUCGGUGAGACCGAAUUUGGUAAUUAGCUAACCAGAGAGUUGGUCAGGCAAACUCCGUGGGACCGAUUUGCUCUUUCGGUGAGACCGAAAAGUUACAAAGGGGAAACACUGAGUUUACAUUGCAAUCUCGGUGGGACCGAUUCGCUCUUUCGGUGGGACUGAAAAGUUAUGAAAGGGAAACAGAGAGUUUGCAACCCCAUCUCGGUGAGACCGAGAUCUUUAUCGGUAGAACCGAAUUGCUAGGGUUUGGCAGUGGCUAAUGACAAGUGAAACUCGGUGGCGUCGGAUAGGAAGAAUCGGUAGGACCGAGUUUGGCUUAGGGUUUAGGUCAUAUGUGGAUAUGGGAAAGUAGUUGAGGGUUUUGGAGCAUAUCACUAAGCACAUGAAGCAAGAGGCUCAUUAAGCAACACCUCAUCCCUCCUUAAUAGUAUUGGCUUUUCCUAAAGACUCAAUGUGAUCUUGGAUCACUAAAAUAUAAAAUGAAGAGUGUUGAGCUUUUGAGCUUGAGCCAAUCCUUUGUCCUUAGCAUUUUGAGGGUUCCACUUUCACAUCCAUGCCAUGCCAAUCAUUGAGCUUUCCUAAAAUAAUCAUCUUGGAAUAGCAUUAGCUCAAUGAGCUAUAUGUUGUUAUGAAUUACCAAAACCACCUAGGGAUAGUUGCACUUUCAAUCUCCCCCUUUUUGGUAAUUGAUGACAACAUAUAGAUCAAAGCUUCGACAAAAGAUAAUAAUCAUGAAAUAUAUCGUUGCUUUGAGAAGUAUGUGAUAAGUAAGAGCUCCCCCUAAAUUUGUGCAUAUUUAAAAUUUGCUUUGGACUGCAAAUGCACAAAGAGUUAGAGUCAUGGGUUACUCUUCCAUGUCACAUACAUCUUGGUGGAGCGCUCAAAAUGAUAAGAAUGAAAUACAUGCACUUAUCACCAAGAAUAAUGAAUGAUCACAUAAGAUAGAUAGAAUGAUAAUAUUUAAGCAAGCAUUAAGCAAACAUUAAGUGUAGCUUAUGAUCAAACACAUGAUCAUCAAUGUCUCACAAAUAAUGACGUAGUAUCUCAAGCACUCAAAAACAGACAAGUUCGAAAAACCACCAAAUAAAGCAAGAGAGAAAAGCAACACUCUCUCUCUCGAAGCCUAUGAUCUAUACAUCUUCUCCCCCUUUGGCAACAAGUUACCAAAAAAGUUCCUAGAAAAUGCAUAGCACUAGAUCGACGCUCAGGCUUGAUCUUCAGGUGGUGGUGGAGUCUGGAGCACUCCAAGGACGAAGCCUUCGGUAGACGUGGUCGGAGUCGAGGCUGAAGUGGAUGCUGGAGCUGGUGGAACUGAGGCUGUGGCUGGUGCAGACGUUGUAGCUCUGGUGUCAGCAACUGGCAGUGCAGACGACCUCGGACCUCGUGUCACCCUUGCAAAAGCAUCAGUCGUGGUCCUGCCUCUCCUCUCAUUCAUGUCCUCCUGGAGCUGCUCCACGGCAGUCUAUAUCUCUGUCACCUUGAUGUCCAAGUCAUAGAACCUCUGUUCCAUGAUCCUCUCUAAACUCGCCUGGUUCUGAGUCAGGGUGGCUAUACUCUGCUCAAUCCGCAGGGUGGAUGCAAUCAGGUAACCAAGCUGCUCUUGUUUGGUUUUCAAGAAGUAAUCAGAUGCCUCCGCUUGAGUAGGCAUCCUGGCAGCUUUCUCCUUCUUCGCCUUCUCCUUCUGAGCUUGUGCAUGGGUAGAUGAUGGUUCAUUCUCAGUCAUAACAACUUGAUUAUCUUCGAAAUCUGGACGGAUGGGCAGGUGUUCCUUAUCCAACAAAUAUACGCUCGUGCCCAUCUUGGAGUUGAUGAGCUCCUGAAUCUGAGGGGCAUAUCCGCAGCUCCUCUUCUGAUCUGCCGCAGUCCUUUUGAUUGUUUCCACUAUGAGGCUCAUGACUUUGAAUUUUUGAGGCACGUCAAAGACAUGAAGCAAAUUGAUCGCGUGACCUUUGAUCAUCUUGUGAUCUCCAAACUUGGGCAGAAGGGUGUGCCUAAGGAUCCAGUUGAUCGUAGGCAAUCCUGAUAGCAGAUAAUGCACUGAGCCAAACUUGAACGUGUCAAGUGCUUCAUUCGGAAUAUCCUUGUACAUAUUGGACAUGGAGUUGUGGUCCAUCUUUUUCUUGGCAUAAAUGUCCAAGUCAUCUGCUUGCUCCUCUGGGGCAUUGAUCAGCUUCGCCCAUUCCUUAACGGUAGAGUGGUACCUUGUACCCUCUGACAUCCAUGUGAUCCUGCCAUCCGGAUAAAAGUGUGAUGUGGAGUAGAAUUGCAUGAUUAGCUCCUCGUUACACUUUGUGAGCUUCUGCCCAACAAAGUCUGCAACUCCACACGCACUAAAGCUGUCAAAUACUCCAGGGUAGUACUCUUCAUUGUCCUUGAUAUAGGUCCAGUCAACCCAUCUCAUGUCACAUACAAUUGACUUCUUGUCAAGUAGCACUGUCUCAUCGAAAUCCUGCUGCUCCUUGGUAUGACACCUAUAGUCCACUGCAGUCCUUCUCCUAGAAGCAUAUGGAUCUACUUCUCUCCACUUCCUGAGCCCUGAGUCUCUCCUGAGCUUCAUAUCCUCAGCCACAGGAUGAGCAUCGUUGUGGUCUGGGAUCUUGGGCUUGAGCUUCCUUAGGACAUUUUCUUCCUCAUCCUCAGCAACAGUCUCAGGCACUGGGGCCUUGUUCUUCUCAGCUGCAGGAAUGCUCCUUGUAUUUCUCUUAGGUUUUGGCUUGGAGGCAGCUUUGGGCUUAGAUGCAGUAGCCCCUGACCUUAUGGCAUCACCCAUUAGCUUGGGUGCCUUGGGCGCUGGUGCAGCUGCCUCUUCUUCCUCUUCCUCUUCCAUGAUGGAAGCUUUGCCAAGCACUCUAGCCAUAGUCUUCUUCACCCUCUCUUUCCUUUUCUUGCCCUCAGCUGCAGCUGGCUCUUGGGAAGUGAGCUUCUCAGUUGAGGCUCUAGCCUUUGACAUGGGCUGCCUGCCUGCUGGCCUUUUGAUUUUCAGACCUGGCUUAGUGCCUUGAGCUGGUUCAAUUCUCUUGGAAGUGGCCUCUUCCUCUGCCACAUAGUCCUCAUCUUCAGAAUCUGAGGUUCUCUUCUUCCUUUGUCUAGUGGCAGCUUUAGGCAGGUUGCUGGGUGUGCUCCUGCUGCCAUCAUCUGAGGAACUUGAGGGGCUAGUGCCCUCACUCAACCGCACUUGCUACUCUGACAAGUUUUGGCUGUCACUCUAGUCUGACAUGCUGCAAACUGACUGCUGACCCUGUGAAUAGAUUAUAGAGGAGAUAGAGUGGAUGAGCAUCACAAAAUGUAGAGAUUUUUGCAGAAGAAUGAUCCAAAACUUAGUUUUAGUUUCCCACUAAAAUCAUCUCGGAUCUACCGAUUUUCAAACUCGGUGAUACCGAAGCAGUUUUGGAACCUAAACUAGUGAACUCGGUAGGACCGAGUCACAGUUCGGUGGCACCGAGACUGCUAGGGUUUCACUGAGUUCAAAAAUCGGUCACACCGAUAAGUAAUUCUCGGUCAGACCGAGUCUCACUUGUGCAAUGGCAUAAGCCAAAUCGGUGGGACCGAGUUUUUCAACUCGGUGGGUCCAAGAUAGUUUCGGCGGAAACCUAAACCUAGAAUUUUCGAAUCAAACCUAAUCUAUGAGUGUUUUGACUGGAUAGAAGUUUCUCAAACGUGGCUAGAAACAAUAUGAUCACAAUGUGCUAGGAAUCAGAUUGAGGAAUAGCACAAAGAUCAAGUCCAUACCCUAGUUCGGCGGGGACUUGCUACGGCGGCAAUGGCGGGGCAGAAUUCCCGUUGACGGCGACGGAGACCAGCGACUGGAGGCUGCUGGCGGCGAGAAGACGAUCCAGAGACCUCGAGGGCAGAGCAGGCUAUCGCGCGGGCGAAGGGGUUCGGAGAAAUUUCCAAAUUUUGCCCGUGACUAUAUAUAGCCCGACCCUGUCAGUGUGACCGAGUGGAACGACUAGGUGGCACCGAGAUUCAUAACUGCGUGCAGUUACUGAAACUCGGUGUGACCGAAAGUGUCAAAUCGGUUGCACCGAGAUCGAAAACCUAGAUCAACUUAAUGAUCUCGAUAGGACCAAAAGUGGAGUAUCGGUUAGACCGAGAAUCAUAAAGAGGUUUUGGAAGUUUAAGUCUAUGACGAAUCAGGGACUCCGAGCGCUCCUCACACAGAGUGGUUCGAAUCUGACUUGAUCAAAUUUUGUGAUGCAGCAUGAAUAGAGUUUGAGACGAGAAAAGCAUAGAUAGCUAGAGGAGGUUCUUAGGCAUUCUUGUCCAUCCACUUGGCAAAAAGAAAUAAAGCCGAACAAUCAAAACAACAAGUGGAUGUCCUCGAAUGAGUAAAAUAUGCAACCAGCAUGCUCACACAAUAAGAUGGCAAAUGAAAUAUGUGGCAAGGCAUGCACAACCAAUUCUAGCAUCUAUCAAGCAAUUUGCGAUGACUAGGUCAUCUAUAUAUGAGUAUAUUGACUUAGGAGUCAAGUGAGAACACUUGAUCAUAGGUCAUACUCAUCGUUUAAGCUCAAGUGGGGUUACCACUUUUACAUAAAGCAUUGUUGUGUUCACAUCUUUAGAGUUUCUUUAGCUCAAGUCUUAGAGUAAAGCUCCCCCUAGAUGUGAUAUCCCCCCUAAGAGGGAUGAACUAACCUUGGGUUUUGUCGAUGAUGACUUCAUGUAGAUAUUGAAGAUGUGGAUGCUCAAUGUUGAUGUAGAUCUCUUGGAGCUAUCCAUAUGAGUGAAUUGCACUUUCAAUACCUACAUGGGUUAGUCCCACAAGGAACAAACAAGGAUAUCCAUAGACAUAGAGUGAUGCACACAAAAGAUGAUGUCCAUGAAAACUUUUAGUUUACCUUGUCCCUUGUCUUACCAACAAGAGGGUUUGUGACUCCUUGAACUAGUGCAAGAUGUGGAAGUUGAUUGCACUUGUUCUUGCCAAAAUGAUAAGAGUGAAGUAUGUUGGCGGAGUCACCCUCAAGAACUCUCUAGUUCUUCUUCUUUUGGAUCCACAUCAUCUUGAUGGGAAUCCUUGGAGUUGUAGUCAUACUUGAUGAAGUGGAACUUGAAGUAGUCUUGGGAAUCCACUUGACUAAGGUCUUAGGAGCUUCUUCAAAUGCAUCAAUUUCCUCUUGAAGCUUGUCCUUGCCUUUUUGCUCGUAGUCUUGUGGUGGAAGAUCAUCUUGAGCUUGUGUCCCCUUGAAAGAAGUAUACUUCUCUUGUUGAGGGACAAACUUUGUCUUGGGGUAUUGAUCUUCUUCCCAUUCAACUCCAUUGGCAUUGAACUUUCGUUCAAAACGAACACCUUGAUUCUUCCGGUGCAUUCCUUGUUUGCGCACAAUUUCCUCAAAUUGCUUACUCCUGGCACGGCUUUUGUACACUCCUUUCUCUAUAAUUCCCUUCAAUAAGCUAUUUUAUUGCUCAAGUGUAACUUGGCUAAGAGAAUCAUUAGUGGAAUCAAGAGAACUACUAGAAGCAACAAUAUUGGAUUUAGCAUGAUCAUUGUUACUACUAGAGGAAGAAUCUUUCUUGUUAGACUUGACUUGAGGCAUGUAAGUGGAUAAGAGUAAACGCUUGGCAAUGUAAGAAGAACUUUUCUUGCGGAGAUCAUCAUUGAUUGCCUUUAAGAACUCAUGCUCUUGCUCAAGAUUUAGCUUUUCAAAGCGUAGUUUCUCAUGAGCUCUUAAAAGUUCUCGAUGAUCUUCGAAGAUAGUGUCAUGAGCUAACUUAAGAGUUUUUAGUUCUUUAGUUAGAGCCUCAAUCUUCUUCUCAUCAUUGUCAUUCGUUUUAUCUUGAUUAGCAUGAUUAAUUGGUCUUUCAUCAUAGUAUUCAUCACUAGAGUUGUCACCAAGCAAAUCAUCACCUAACAAGUCAUCUUCAUCACUAUUGAAAUCAACAUACUCGGGGUGUGUUACCUUAGGACCUUUGGCCAUGAAGCAUCUUCCAAUUCCUUCAUUUGGUGAGUCAAAUAUGUCGUAGGAGUUGGUUGACACAAGUGCUAGACCGGCAACACCUUCAUCUUGAGUAUCUUCGGAGUCGGAGUGAUAACUUCUCUCGGAGUGGCUGUCGGAGUCGGAGCCAGAUACCCAUUCACCAACAUGAGCUUGAUGUCUUCGUCUUGUGUAGCUCCUUGAUGAUUUUCCUUCCUUUCCGAAUCCUUGCUUCUCCAUGAGUAUCUUCGUUCAUAACGAUCAUCUCUACUCCUUCUCUCUCUUGGUGGUGAUCCUUUGCUUCUUCUUUUUGGAGAAUCUUCUCUUCUCUUGUAGGGAGCCGUACACUCAUUGGAAUAGUGUCCGGGUCUUCCACAAUUGUAACAGUUUCACUCUCGACUAGAAGAUCUUUUGUCAUUGUAGGACCUUGACUUGGAGCUUCUAUCUUUGCUUCUACUCUUGUAGAACUUGUUGAAGUUCUUCACCAUUAAGCUCAAUUCUUCAUCGAAGUCUUGUUUCUCACUUGAUGAUGUAGGGGCUUCACAUGAGGCUUUGUAGGCACCACUUGAUUUGUUGUGAAGUUCCUCUUUAUCCUUAAGUGACAUCUCAUGAGCAACAAUUCUUCCAAUCACCUCCGUUGGCUUGAGAUCUUUGUAAUUGGGCAUCAUUUGGAUCAAUGUGCACACGGUAUCAUAUUUUCCAUCCAAGGCUCUUAGGAUCUUCUUGAUGAUGAAUCUAUCGGUCAUCUCUUCACUUCCUAAGCCGGCAAACUCAUUUGUGAUGAGAGCAAGCCUAGAGUACAUUUCAGCGACACCUUCACCAUCCUUCAUCUUGAACUUGUCAAGUUGGCUUUGAAGCACAUCCAACUUGGAUUCCUUGACGGAGUCGGUACCUUCGUGCAUAUCAAUCAAAGUGUCCCAAAUUUCCUUUGCAUUCUCAAGGCGGCUGAUUUUGUUGAAUUCUUCGGGGCACAAUCCGUUGAAGAGAAUAUCACAAGCUUGAGCAUUGUAUUGCAACAUCUUCAACUCAUCCGCAGUAGCUUCACGGUUUGGUUCUCUCCCGUCAAAGAAGUCACCUAGCAAACCAACACACACAAUAGCCCAAACAGCGGGGUUAUGUCCAAGAAUAUGCAUUUUCAUUUUAUGCUUCCAACUAGCAAAAUUAGUACCAUCAAAGUAAGGACCUCUACGGUGAUAAUUUCCCUCGCUAGACGCCAUACUCUCCUAGGUUGUGAAACCAAGUCUAUGACCACCAAAAUCUAUGGAGAUCAAGAAAAUGGAGACCAAAGCUCUGAUACCACUUGUAGGAUCGAAAGUAUGUCUAGAGGGGGGUGAUUAGACUACUUGACCAAAUAAAACUUAACCUUUUCCCAAUUUUAGUUCUUGGCAGAUUUUAGCUAAUUUAGGACAAGUCAAGCAAUCAUCACAUCACUCAAGCAAGCAUGCAAAGAGUUUAUGGGCAGCGGAAAGUAAAGCAUGCAACUUGCGAGAAUGUGAAGGGAAGGGUUUGGAGAAUUCAAACGCUAUUGGAGACACGGAUGUUUUUCCCGUGGUUCGGAUAGGUGGUGCUAUCCUACAUCCACGUUGAUGGAGAUUUCAACCCACGAAGGGUAACGGUUGCGCGAGUCCACACAGGGCUCCACCCAAGGGCAACGGUUGCGCGAGUCCACACAGGGCUCCACCCACGAAAGGUCCACGAAGAAGCAACCUUGUCUAUCCCACCAUGGCCAUCGCCCACACAGGACUUGCCUCACUAGCGGUAGAUCUUCAUGAAGUAGGCGAUCUCCUUGCCCUUACAAACUCCUUGGUUCAACUCCACAAUCUUGUCGGAGGCUCCCAAGUGACACCUAGCCAAUCUAGGAGACACCACUCUCCAAGAAGUAACAAAUGGUGUGUAGGUAAUGAACUCCUUGCUCUUGUGCUUCAAAUGAUAGUCUCCCCAACACUCAACUCUCUCUCAUAGGAUUUGGAUUUGGUGGAAAGAAGAUUUGAGUGGAAAGCAACUUGGGAAGGCUAGAGAUCAAGAUUCAUAUGGUAGGAAUGGAAUGUCUUGGUCUCAACACAUGAGUAGGUGGUUCUCUCUCAGAACAUAUGAGUUGGAAUGAUGUGUGUGUUCUGAUGGCUCUCUCACUGAAUGAGAAAGAGGUGGAGUGGUAUAUAUAGCCUCCACACAAAAUCUAACCGUUACACAGUUUUCCAAUCUCGGUGGGACCGAAUCAGAAAACUCGGUCUGACCGAAAUAGUAAAUCUAGUGACCGUUAGGAAUUUCGGUGGGACUGACAUGCAACUCGGUAGGACCGAUAUGGUUAGGGUUUGGGCAUAACAUAAUCUCGGUGAGACCGAUUACACAAACUCGGUGAGACCGAAUUUGGUAAUUAGCUAACCAGAGAGUUGGUCAGGCAAACUCCGUGGGACCGAUUUGCUCUUUCGGUGAGACCGAGUGGAACUCGGUGAGACCAAAAAGUUACAAAGGGGAAACACUGAGUUUACAUUGCAAUCUCGGUGGGACCGAUUCGCUCUUUCGGUGGGACCGAAAAGUUACGAAAGGGAAACAGAGAGUUUGCAACCCCAUCUCGGUGAAACCGAGAUCUUUAUCGGUAGAACCGAAUUGCUAGGGUUUGGCAGUGGCUAAUGACAAGUGAAACUCGGUGGCGCCGGAUAGGAAGAAUCGGUAGGACCGAGUUGGCUUAGGGUUUAGGUCAUAUGUGGAUAUGGGAAAGUAGUUGAGGGUUUUGGAGCAUAUCACUAAGCACAUGAAGCAAGAGGCUCAUUAAGCAACACCUCAUCCCUCCUUAAUAGUAUUGGCUUUUCCUAAAGACUCAAUGUGAUCUUGGAUCACUAAAAUAUAAAAUGAAGAGUCUUGAGCUUUUGAGCUUGAGCCAAUCCAUUGUCCUUAGCAUUUUGAGGGUUCCACUUUCACAUCCAUGCCAUGCCAAUCAUUGAGCUUUCCUGAAAUAAUCAUCUUGGAAUAGCAUUAGCUCAAUGAGCUAUAUGUUGUUAUGAAUUACCAAAACCACCUAGGGAUAGUUGCACUUUUAGAAACUCUUGGUGAUGAUGUUAUUCCUCUUUUGGUUCAUGUGUUGCAAUUAUAUACCACAUAAUUCUACACCAUGUGGUGGACAUAAGUAUCUUAGUGACUUCAUUUGAGUGUGCAUUUCUAUUAAUUCUAAGCUUCUGUUGCUGUGAAAAUGUACCUCACUGACCGUCUGUCUAUUUAUUGUGUACUUCUUGCAUGAGGAGGUGACUAGUGAUGCGGCACGCGAAGUAGCAGUAGGGGAAGGGGGUCUCCUGCUCGAGGAGGCAGAGGAGUAGGGACGUGCCCAGCCGGCAGCUCUGUCCUGCUUGUGGGGGAGGGGCAGGAGGGGUCUGCUCCUCUGCUUCCAUUGCGAUCGCGGCAGGUAGCUCCUCCAUCUCCGUCCCCCUCUUCCCGUGCUCACUACUUCUGCUGCUAAGUUGACGAAUAUGUGAUGCACUUGUCCCAAGGAAAUUUAGAGGGAUCUGUAUGAACAAGUCAUGUUUUUAUUUUAUUUUAUUUAGGUUGUUAGUUACCAAACAGAGAGAGAAGAUGAGCUCAUGCUUGGAUUUUUUUCUGCCAGCACAUGAUUUGUAUGUAUGCAAUCAUCAUCUUGCGUGUGCGAGCUGGUUCUUUGCUUGCGCAUCGCGUCGAUGACCAAGUGUUAGUGCCGAUUUGUUGUGGUGGUGCUCAUCUGGCCAUUGAUUUCUUGCUGAUAAUUUGUCUACUCCACUUGUUUAUUUUUACUAAAACCUUUGUUUGCAUGUUUCUAAAAUACAGAGAAGAACACCCUGUGUUCUGGUAAAAUAUUUGUUGGCUAUGAUAUGAAAUUCCAUGACGUGUGUGUUGUCUCAAUUUCUGUAGCUACAACAAAGUCCCAGUUUACUCUGUACUUGCUGCUGAUGAUUGCUAGCUAAAUAUACAGCGGCAGUGUCCAGGAGGACAGCAGCGGGCUGGAGUAGCCGCCGCUGGUUUUCUUACUGGUUUUUUUAAAUGUCACAACUUACUAUGCCGCUACCUAGUAAAAACCAACUUACUAUGCUGCUGCCUAGUAAAAUUAUUUCUGUGUUUGAUGCAUGGCCUAUCUUACUUCGUGCUUAUACAUUCUGUUCUGUACCUAACUUAUAUUGGAAGCUGACUAUUCUGUAAGAUGGAUCUAACCAUCAUUAAGUGCACAAGUUUUCAGGAUAAUUCACAACUGCAUUAAAAAAUUCUAGUGGGAGUUAUACAUGUUUUCUCAUGAUAGAUUGAUCUGGACUGAAACAUGAUUUUGCAUCCUGUUUUCCGUCGACAAAUAUACAAGUUAUACAAGUUAUAUCAGCAAGUUAUUGUAUGUGUUAGAGAAAUUAGUGUUGACUUAUUUGUUGUUCUUUUUUUUCUUUCUAAUUUUUGCAUGAGAGCAAACUGGUGUAGCUAGCUGAACUAUGCAGCCAUGAAUCAGGAAGUAGCAUAUUCAGUUUUGCUAAUAGAAAAUAAAUGUAUUAAAAACUAUAAAAACUGCAUAAUAAGUGCUUGUUCAUGUUUGGUUUUCUCUAAACUUUGUUUGUAUGAUCGAGGGCAAAUUUACUUGGUUCUUUUCUCUAAACCGUGCUUGGAACAUUCGUUUUUAUGAUCUAAAAUUGCCUUCCUGUGAUGAUGCAGGUGCCCAGUUUGUGCUCGUUACCGAAGGAGCUACAUGUUGAAGAAGAUUGAAGACACUUGUAGAGCUACAUGGUUAACACCAGGGCACCGUAUCACGUGUAGAGCUUGUAGAGCUUGUAUGAGCUUAUUAUGUGUAGAGAUUGUAAAGUAUAUGUUAUUUGUACAAUAGGAGCUCCGUACUGAAUCUGGCUGAUAAUAUUUGGAGUAUUAUGUGUGUGUUUUGUUUGUGCCAAUUUAAAUACUGGUUAUUUAUUUACUGUUAAAUUGAAAUAUGAAGAAUAUAAACUUGCUAGCUGGGACCCACGUACCUGAACCUGACAUCUGGGACCCAUUUGACUAGUGGACCUUUUUUAUAUUACAAAAAAACUAAAACUUUCUAGCGGAAAAGGCCACGACCCAAAAAUGAGAAGGCUUAAUUGUUGGGCUUGGCCCAUCUACCUAGCCAAAAUUAAUAUGAUAAAAAAACACAAAUAGGCCGAAUUGUUGGGCUAGGCCAAUGUAGAAAAUUGAAUUGGACCGGGCUGAAUCUUGUGCCAUGUCAGAUUGCCACGCUGGAUGCCUACGUGGCCUGGGGAGGUUGAUAGUGACCAAAACGCCACAGUAGACGUAUUUUGGUCAUAAACGUCUUCGACCAUUCCAGAAGAAAGGUCGCUAUAGUCAGUUUAUGACUGCCAGCUUUUGACCUUCUGUUUUUGGUCACAAAAGGUCGGAAAUGAAAAACCAUGAUAUUUUAGUGACCAAUAGUGGUGGUCACAAGUUGACAUAUUUCUUGUAGUGUCUAGCAUUAAUAAUCUCAUGAUCCCUUUGAGCCUGGGUGGCGGUCCAAAAGAAAAACAGGCAAUCGCUGGAAUACCCAGAUGCCUCAAUCCACCCAGAUGUGUAUUUUAGUUGCCACUUUAGAUAAACCAUUAAUUUAACAAUCUCACAUAUGUCAUGGAUACACUAACCCAAUCCACGUCUACUAGCAUAGCAUAGCAUAAUAAGCAAAUGUAGAAGUAACUCCCAAAGGUUUGGUAAUAAACAGGUAAUAGGCACUACCUCAAAUACUUCCCAAACCCACAAUUUAAUUAGAUCCUAAACAUGCAAUGUGUGAGGAUUGAUCUAAUGCAAUAAAACUAGGUAAUUGGAAGUAUGAUCAAAGUGUUACUUGCCUUGCUGAUGAUCCGCAAAACCUAGCGAUUCAAAGUACCAAGCGGCGCACUCCGGGUACUCUAUCGCAAACAAACAAGCAUACAAUAAGUACUCAUCUAAUGCACAGGUAAAACUCGAAUAAGAGAUCUAACCAGAAAGUUCAACUUAAGAACUCCGGUUGGCAAAAAGAAUCAAAUCGAAUGAAGCAACGAAAGACAAACGGCAAAAGAAACAUGCUUCAUUUACUAUUCUGGAUCUAGGUCAAUUUUUAUAGUGGCAAAAACUUGUUUGAGUUGGUUAAAUGGAAAGAGGGUUUUGAGAUGAAACUCUAGGCACUUGAACCGCCUGAUUCUGAUAAACGAGCAAAAAGUUAUACUAAAACGAAAAUCGGAUCAGGAAUCGCGAUCAGAAAAAUCGUGGAUUUAAUCCGAGAAAAAAGAAAACGACGAACAGAUUAACGAACGAACGUUCAUUAUCUGGAUCUAAACAAUGAACAUGUUCGUUAAAACAAACGAACAAGCGAACGCUCGCAUAUUAAAUAAACCGGAAAAACCGAUCUAUAUAAAAAAAACGAAACUAAAAAAACCAAACGGUUUUUUGAGAAAAACCGGCGGCGGUGAGGUCUACCUCCGGCGAGUGGCGGGGCGGNNNNNNNNNNNNNNNNNNNNNNNNNNNNNNNNNNNNNNNNNNNNNNNNNNNNNNNNNNNNNNNNNNNNNNNNNNNNNNNNNNNNNNNNNNNNNNNNNNNNNNNNNNNNNNNNNNNNNNNNNNNNNNNNNNNNNNNNNNNNNNNNNNNNNNNNNNNNNNNNNNNNNNNNNNNNNNNNNNNNNNNNNNNNNNNNNNNNNNNNNNNNNNNNNNNNNNNNNNNNNNNNNNNNNNNNNNNNNNNNNNNNNNNNNNNNNNNNNNNNNNNNNNNNNNNNNNNNNNNNNNNNNNNNNNNNNNNNNNNNNNNNNNNNNNNUUCCCUGGGUUAUAAAGCUGACCGGGCCUAGUGUCCGGGUCGGACACGGCCCGUUAGGUCGGUUUGUUUUUUUAAAUAGUUACGCUCAGAAAAAAACAAAAGGAAUACUAAACGGACUCAAAAAACUCCUGAAAUAAAUUUUCCCCGGCUUCUAAAAUCAAGCAGCACAGGAUGAACAUUUAUUUGGGGCCAAAAUGCAAUUUUGAAAAACAUGCAUUUUUCCUAAAUUCAAAUAAAAUAGGAAAUGAAACCAAAAUAAAAUCUUAUUUGAUUUUCUUAUUAAAUCCGCAAUAUUUUAUUCCCUCUCUCAUAUUUUUGUAAUAGAAAUAAUUGAAGAUAAAAUAAAUAAAAUCAAAUGAUCCUAUUUUCAAAAUUUGAGAAAACUCAAAUAUGAAAAUAACGAAAUCCCCAACUCUCUCCGAGGGUCCUUGAGUUGCGUAGAAUUUUCUAGGAUCAGCCAAAAUGCAAUAAAUUAUGAUAUGCAAUGAUGAUCUAGUGUAUAACAUUCCAAAUUGAAAAUUUGGGAUGUUACAAACCUACCCCCCUUAAGAUGAAUCUCGCCCUCGAGAUUCGGGUUGGCUAGAAAAUAGGUGAGGGUGGUCCUUCAGCAAUUCUUCCUCUCGCUCCCAGGUGGCUUCAUCCUCCGUGUUGUGGCUCCACUGAACUUUGCAAAACUUGAUAACCUUGCUAUGGGUUACUUGGUUGGCAUACUCAAGAAUCUUGACUGGUUUCUCCUCAUAGGUCAAAUCACUGUCCAACUGAAUUGCUUCCAGCGGCACUGUGUCUCUCAACGGUAUAUCAGCCAUCUCCGCGUGGCACUUCUUCAUCUGGGAAACGUGGAAAACGUUGUGAACUCCUGACAAUCCUUCACGCAAUUCCAAUUUGUAGGCCACUUCUCCCAUACGCUCCAAAACCUUGUAUGGUCCUACAAAACAUGGCGCUAACUUUCCCUUAACUCCAAAGCGCUUAACUCCUCGAAGUGGAGAUACUCGAAGAUAAACUCGGUCUCCAACUUCGAAAACUGUCUCCUUGAGUUUAGAAUCUCGUAGCUCUUCUGCCUGGAUUGGGCUACCUUGAGCCUGUCGUGAAUCAAUUUUACUUUCUGUUCAGACUCCUUUAUCAGAUUUGGUCCAAACAACUGACGGUCUCCAACUUCAUCCCACGACAAUGGGGUCCUGCACCUCCUUCCGUACAAGGCUUCGAAAGGGGCCAUCUUCAAACUGGAUUGAUAACUGUUGUUAUAAGAGAACUCUGCGUAUGGCAAAUUCUCGUCCCAACUAGAUCCGUAAUCUAGCGCACAAGCUCUCAGCAUAUCCUCCAAAAUUUGAUUGACUCUCUCGGUCUGUCCAUCUGUCUGCGGAUGGAAAGCUGUACUGAAUUCUAGCUUGGUACCCAAAGUUUCAUGCAACUGAUUCCAGAACUUUGAGGUAAACUGGGUUCCUCUAUCUGAUACAAUGCUCCUUGGAACUCCAUGCAGACAUACGAUUCUGGUCAUGUAUAUCUUUGCUAACUUUGCAGUGGUAUAGGUAGUCUUCACUGGAAUGAAGUGAGCUACCUUUGUCAAACGAUCGACUACAAGCCAAAUCGAGUCAUAGCCUGAACGAGUUCUGGGUAAACCCGUAAUAAAAUCCAUGCCUAGCUUAUCCCACUUCCAUUCGGGUAUCGGCAAUGGCUGUAGCAAUCCUGCUGGCUUCUGAUGCUCUGCCUUUACUCUCUGACAUACAUCACAAACUUCUACAUACUCCACAAUGUCCUUCUUCAUUCUGGUCCACCAGAAAGUAUCCUUCAAAUCCAAAUACAUCUUGGUAUUUCCUGGGUGAGAGUAUGGUGAAUCAUGGGUUCCUGCAGAAUUAACUUCCUGAUCUCUGGGUCAUUAGGCACAUAAACGCGGUCUUCAAACCAUAAGGUAUCGUGUUCGUCCUCACGAAAUCCUUUAGCUUUUCCUUUGCUCAUUUUCUCCCUAAUAGAAGCGAUCUCCUUGUCGGUUUUCUCGGCUUCUAUGAUCUUAUCCAUCAACGUAGACCGAAUCUCCAAUGCUGCUACAUAGCCUCUCGGAACUAUCUCCAAACAUAGCUCACAAAGAUUUUCGGCUAACUCCCUUGGUAAAUCUCUCGUCAUUAGUGUGUUGACAUGGCUUUUACGACUCAAUGCGUCAGCUACUACGUUAGCCUUUCCAGGGUGAUAAUGCAAUCUCAUAUCAUAAUCCUUGAUGAGCUCCAACCAUCGCCUUUGUUUGAGAUUCAACUCCUUCUGAGUGAAAAUAUACUUCAAACUCUUGUGAUCCGUGUACACCUCACAAUGGUUUCCAAUGAGAAAGUGUCUCCAGGUUUUCAAUGCAUGCACUAUGGCUGCUAACUCCAAAUCAUGCGUAGCAUAAUUCAACUCAUGAGGCUUAAGCUAUCGCGAGCCAUAUGAAACAACUCUUCCUUCCUGCAUAAGCACUACUCCAAGUCCUCGACAUGAAGCGUCACAAUACACCUCAUAAUCUUUGGUUUGAUCUGGCAAAAUCAACACUGGUGAUGUAACCAAACGUUUCUUCAGCUCCUGGAAACUGGCCUCACAUUCCUUAGUCCAUAUGAACUUGGUAUCCUUUUUCAACAACUCCGUCAUAGGCUUUGCAAUCUUCGAGAAAUUCUCAAUGAAUCUCCGGUAGUAUCCUGCAAGUCCAAGAAAACUCCGGAUUUCUCCAACUAUUGUUGGGGCUUCCCAAUUUGUCACAGUGUCAACCUUAGUGGGAUCUACUGCUAUACCCUCUCCGGAUAUAACGUGUCUGAGAAAUCCAACUUCCUUCAACCAAAACUCACAUUUGCUAAACUUGGCAUAUAACUGAUGUUCUCUGAGCUUACCAAGUACCAAACUCAAAUUCUCCUUAUGCUCCGCUUCAUUCUUGGAGUAAACCAGGAUAUCAUCGAUGAACACUACGACAAACUUAUCCAGAAACUCCAUAAACACCUUGUUCAUCAUGUUCAUAAAAUAAGCAGGUGCGUUAGUUAGACCAAAUGACAUAACGGUAUACUCGUACAGCCCAUACCUGGUGGUAAAAGCCAUCUUAGGUAUAUCCUGUUCUCGAAUCUUCAACUGAUGGUAUCCUGAUCGCAGGUCGAUCUUGGAAAAUACCUUAGCUCCUUGCAAUCGAUCAAACAGAUCAUUGAUCGUCGGUAGUGGGUACUUGUUCUUGAUGGUUACUUCAUUCAAUCCUCGAUAAUCAACAACCAUCCUUAACGAUCCAUCGUUCCUCUCCACUAGAAGUACUGGCGAUCUCCAAGGCGAAGAACUUGGGCGAACAUAACCUUUAUCCAGUAACUCCUUAAUCUACUUCUUAAUCUCCACCCAAUCCUUUGCGGGCAUCCUAUAUGGUCUCUUAGAUAUUGGCCCUGUGCCUGGCAAAAGCUCAAUCAAAAACUCGAUAUCUCUAUCCGGUGGCAUGCCUGGCAACUCUUUUGGAAAUACAUCAGGGAAAUCCUUCACUAGUGGUACUUCCUCCUGCACAACUCCUGUUAGAAAAUUUACUUGAGUCCUCAUCGGCACAUGCCGAGAUACGUACUUGAUCCUUCUCCCUUCUGGGGUGGUAAGAAAAAUCGACUUACUAAUGCAAUCGAUGUUUCCUCCAUACAUCGACAGCCAAUCCAUACCCAGAAUUACAUCCAAUCCUCGUGAUUCCAAAAUGAUCAAAUCCGAGGGAAACACAUGCCUACCUAUACUCAAUGGCACUUGAAAACAUCCCUGGCUAGCCAUAUACUCCGCUCCUGGUGAGCUUACUAACAUAGGUGUUCUAAGAACUUUGGUGGGCAGGUUAUACUUAUCCACAAAUCCCCUUGAUAUGUAUGAAUGCGAUGCACCAGUAUCGAAAAUAACGAGUGCCGUAAAUGACUUAACCAAAAACUUACCGAUUACUGUAUCCGGCUGCUCUUCAACCUCCUCCACGUUAACGUGGUUCACCUGUCCCCUGUUGAAAGGGUUCGGCUUCUUCCCAGAGCUUCCAUUACCAUUUCCAUUCUGGGAUUCAGGACAUUCAUUGGCAUAAUGUCCGGUCUUCUGGCAUUUAAAGCAAGUGACUUGACUCAGGUCUCUCUUGGCUGGGGUUGAUGGGUUGGUGCGGUUCUGGCCGUUGCUUCCUCCAUUCCCAUUACCAUUCUUGGUGCCGUUGUGAUUGUGUGAGCUACCUCCUCCAUGGGUAUGCUGAAAAUGUCCUCCCGGUCUAGGGGUAAAACGUGGCUUCUGCUGAGCUCCAGAAUUGUACUUCCCUUGUCCAUACUUCCUCUUGCGGUUCUCAAUCUGCUGCUUCUUCCCUUCAAUCAUGAGAGCACGAUGUACCAAAUCCUGGUAGUUGUUGAAGGUUGCCACCAUCAACUGCAUGCUCAACUCAUCAUUCAGUCCUUCCAAAAACUUCUCUUGCUUAGCUGCAUCCGUAGCAACGUCAUCUAGGGCAUAACGUGCUAGCUUACUAAAGUCCUCCACAUACUGGCCAACUAUCCGUCCUCCUUGGCGCAAGUUGCGAAACUCUCACUUCUUCAUGGCUAUAGCUCCUGUUGAAACAUGGGCAGUAUGGAAAGCCUGCUGAAACUGGUCCCACGUGACAUUGUCGACAGGGAAAGUGGCUGUGAAAUUCUCCCACCAUGAUGCCGCGGGUCCUUCAAGCUGAUGUGCGGCAAACUUCACCUUUUCCACAUCUGUGCAUCCUGCCAUGGUCAACUUCCUUGCUGUAUUGCGGAGCCAAUCAUCUGCUACUAUUGGCUCGGUGCUACUGUAAAACACUGGCGGAUUCCGCCUAAGAAAACGGACUAAGUGAUCAACAUGUGGUGGUGGUGGUGGGUUGUUGUUGUUGUUCCCCUGAUUCUGAUUCUGGACUAGCAAUUGCAUCUAUGUGUUCUGCUGCUGGAUCAACUGGGUGAGCUCCGGUGGGAAGGUAAAUCCGGGGUCACGUCUCGGAGGCAUCUGAGGGUUUAGAAAAGAUGAGAUUUAAGAAUAGAGAAGGGUCUAGAGAGAAAACACUACCCAUAUGCUCAUGAGGCAAAAGCAAACAAUUCACUUCAUUCAAUCAAACAAGGGCAUACAAUCGAUCUAGCUAUCGCAAAAGUGCUCGGACUACUAUAUUUACAUGGUGGACUACUACUACUGAUGGGGUGGUCUACUAAAAAUACUCUUCGGUUGCAGACUCCAUGAUAUCUGCUCCAGCUUCAUCAACAUAGUCAUCAUCGCUAUCAUCUAGAUCCGAGUCGGUGUCAUCGAUGAUGAUGUAGUCUUCUGGGCGAAUCUCCUUGGGUUCUUCGUCUUCUUCUACUGGUGUAGGGCCUCCCAUAAAUAUUCCAAUCUUCAUUGUUAAGUCGGCAUUCUUAUCCACGAGUACUUCAAUUUCCUCUUCAUAAUCUUCACGUGUAGCCUUGAGUUCUUCCUCUAGUUCCUUGAUUCUUGCCCUCGCCUUCUUCAGAUCUAUCAUGUUGGCGCACAUCUGGUUCUCCUGACAUCGAAUGUGCUGGUUUAACUCUUGGAUAAAAGCUGCAAUUGAUCUAUCCUUCCUGGUACUGAUCAUCUCCCAGUGCUCAUCUCGGCGCACACAAAUCUGGUAGAUAGUAUCCUUGAGAUCAUUGCGGUAAACUUCUCCAAUGCGUCCCAUGGCGAUGUGAGCUGCCAUGCUCUUCCCUAGAUUCCAAGUUGGUGCAUCAAAAGAAAACUCUAUGGGCUCAGUGACUGGCAUUAACAUCCUUCCUGGAACUUGUACUUGAAUCAUCCAGCGCUCUUCUUCAGGUAAAGUGGCGUUGUAAGUCCCGGUGAAGCUUGGUACUCCUAUGUUCAGGUAUCUAGUGACUUCCUUCAAGUGUCGUCCAAAGGGUGUAUCUUCAUCCGGUUGCAUGAACUUGUUCCUUGCAUCCGCCAUCCUAAAAGAGUAGAAAAGAUGAGAAGUCAGAAUGAGAAGAGAGUGAGUAGUGAUCUAGGGCUUUAGCUUAGUGGUCGUGUCCUACAGUCAGCAUGUGCUCUGAUACCAUCUUGUAGCGACCAGACCUCAAAUGGUCCAAUCUCUGUGCUCAGGUG
rnacentral:lncRNA from 1 species